rnacentral:rRNA from 1 species
CGGCCUUGAAAUACCACCCUUUAAUGUUUGAUGUUCUAACGUGGACCCGUGAUCCGGGUUGCGGACAGUGUCUGGUGGGUAGUUUGACUGGGGCGGUCUCCUCCUAAAGAGUAACGGAGGAGCACGAAGGUUGGCUAAUCCUGGUCGGACAUCAGGAGGUUAGUGCAAUGGCAUAAGCCAGCUUGACUGCGAGCGUGACGGCGCGAGCAGGUGCGAAAGCAGGUCAUAGUGAUCCGGUGGUUCUGAAUGGAAGGGCCAUCGCUCAACGGAUAAAAGGUACUCCGGGGAUAACAGGCUGAUACCGCCCAAGAGUUCAUAUCGACGGCGGUGUUUGGCACCUCGAUGUCGGCUCAUCACAUCCUGGGGCUGAAGUAGGUCCCAAGGGUAUGGCUGUUCGCCAUUUAAAGUGGUACGCGAGCUGGGUUUAGAACGUCGUGAGACAGUUCGGUCCCUAUCUGCCGUGGGCGCUGGAGAACUGAGGGGGGCUGCUCCUAGUACGAGAGGACCGGAGUGGACGCAUCACUGGUGUUCGGGUUGUCAUGCCAAUGGCACUGCCCGGUAGCUAAAUGCGGAAGAGAUAAGUGCUGAAAGCAUCUAAGCACGAAACUUGCCCCGAGAUGAGU